rnacentral:lncRNA from 1 species
UUGUACCCUCCUCCCAAAGUGGCCCAUCACGGGAGUGUGUUGCCGUGGCAACGUGCUCAGUGGGGAAGCCACUCGGCAUUACCCAGUAAUUCACAUCUGUGCUUGUUUCCCGGACACAUUGUUUAGCUCCUAUUUAUAAGUGAGAACAUGUAGUAUUUUUCUGUUUCUGGGUUCUUUCACUGAAGAUAAAGGCCUCCAGUUUCAUCCAUGUUGCUGCGAUCUUUUCUUUUUUUUUUUUUGAGACGGAGUCUCCCUCUGUCGCCCAGGCUGGAGUGCAGUGGCACGAUCUCAGCUCACUGCAACCUCU